GAAAUGCGAUAAGUAAUGUGAAUUGCAGAAUUCAGCGAAUCAUCGAAUCUUUGAACGCAUAUUGCGCCUUCUGGUAUUCCGGAGGGCAUGCCUGUCCGAGCGUCAUUACGUUUCUUCAAGCCCGGCUUGUGUGUUGAGCAUCUGUUCUUGUGAUGGACACGCUUGAAAUGCAGUGGCAAUGCUGCAUCUGGUAGCCCAAGCAUUAUAAGGCCCAUCUGCUUUGUUGGCUCCAGUCAGCAUUUAGCCUCUAAACCUCUUUAUAUCCAAUCCGACCUCGGAUCAGGCAAGAAUACCCGCUGAACUUAA
rnacentral:misc_RNA from 1 species